CCUAAGAGACCUUAGAGAAGGGAUCAUUUAUAGAGGGUGGGAAAGUUCCAGAUACCUACAAGAGAUGGUGGAACACCAAAGUACUAGCAGCAGUGGGAUGCUGUCAGCACCUGUAACUGGUAGAAUUGUGUCUCUCCAAAGAAGAUACACUGAAGCCCUGACCCCAGUGCCUCACCCACUUGCUUGAGACUUUCACUGGCUCCUCACUGCUCUUAAGAUGAAGAAACCAGGGUCUGAAGAGUGAAUUGCCUGUCUUCUGGAAGCAAAUGGUAGAAGAGAGAAUUGAAGCCCAUUCUCUCAACCAGUUCACUAGAAUGAAGACCAUGUCUUUGUGUUUUGAGGAGAACCAGUCAAUUCCUGAAAGAGGUUGAAGAUCAUUUUAAUGUAAAACAAAUGUUUGAGAUCAAUAAGAAG